CUCACAAGGACUACCCUGGUCAAGGUUUUGCUAAAUUAAAAUACGACUGUACAUAGCUCCUAAAUUAGAGUGGUCAAUCUCAUCUUGACACAUGCACCGACAAGUCAAGUACUUGACUACACCUAGUAGCCUUCCGUCACUGAAUUAAAAAUUCAGGUAGUCCAGUGCCUAAGUACAGUGAGUUGCUUGCAAGUCAUCGUGGCGG
rnacentral:lncRNA from 1 species